rnacentral:lncRNA from 1 species
UUGCAUGAUGGUGGGAAAUUUUUGAACAAUUUCUUGCAAUUCGGCCCAUGGGUUAUUCUUCUCCUGACUAGUUAAUGGGUCCCCUUGGAGAUAACAAAAAUAAGCAACCUGCUCUCGGCCCACUGAAAUUCCAUGGUCAAGCUUUUGUAAUUACAUGUCACCGCCCCUAACUUCUCCAACAAUUGUAUGCCCAGCACAAUGUUGGCGCUUUUUAUGGACAACACAUACAGAUCUUCAUUAAUUGGUACCUCCUGUAUUAUCAAUGGUACUUGACGGCAUACUUUCCGGCAAAUCAAAUACUCGCCGCUACCAAUAAAAUCCGGAACUCUGGUAACGAUUGGAUCUUCCUCUGGUGAGUUUUAUUUACCUUUUAAUUUUAAAUUCUUUUCUGCAGACUUUCCUCUAAACCCCCAUCCCCAUUCCCAUUCUCCCAUCGGAAAUUAUUUCCGAUCUGGAAUCGCCCGGCCAAUAGUCCGACCGUCAUCGUCAAUCGGGCUAUUCCGGCCAGAAUCCUCUUCCGGACUGACUGAAUCUUCGGUCACUGUUUCCGCAUUUAUUUUUUAAUGACUACCUCGUAACAUUUUUGAAUGUCUAUCUUGUUUGGUUAUAAUAUAUGUUUAUGCAACAACUUAAUUCACUUUUAAGUGAAGUGUGUUUUCAAAGAUAUGUAUUUUCUGACUGUAUGUGUAUUUUAUAGAUAUGUUUCUUUUUGUAUACAAUCUCCUCUCUAGUUUUCUACGAAGUUUGAACCAGUAGGUUUGUUGAGUAUAUAAUCUGUUUUUACCUUUAUAACGGUACAGUUGCCAACGAUGCUAAUGAAGAUCCUAAAGUGCCUCAAUCAUCCUAUGGUGAUUCAGGAAAAACUCUUGUAAUUUAAAGCACCUCAAACCCGUCAAACAAAUCUCUAGUAUAUGCAUAGGAAAAAUUCAAAAGAUGUAUGAUGCAUUAUCUGAUAAUUUGAAAUCACACAAGAGUGUUGAUUUUUGUUUUAAAGAUAAAUCAUAACCCAAAUACAAAGCAUCUGGACAUUUCAAUGUAGAAACUGCCAACAUAGAAUUACCCAAUUCCAAAACAUCUAAACAUUUAAAUGUAGAAACUGCCAACAUGGAAUUACCCAUAUCCUAUUAUUUUAUGGUCAGGGAGAAGGCGUCGACGGCAAUGCACGUUCGUCCGAAGUCUGGAGAGCCGCUGCUGGAGCACGACGUCCGAUUUCGCCCUUAGGGUUUUCCGCCCAUUGAGAUUGGGGAAUAACCUGAAAUACCGGUCGAUAACGGGAAGAAGAGAGGAAAGAAAAGGAGGG